UACAGGGGGGGCAAGCGUUGUUCGGAAUUACUGGGCGUAAAGGGCUCGUAGGUGGCCAACUAAGUCAGACGUGAAAUCCCUCGGCUUAACCGGGGAACUGCGUCUGAUACUGGAUGGCUUGAGUUUGGGAGAGGGACGCGGAAUUCCAGGUGUAGCGGUGAAAUGCGUAGAUAUCUGGAGGAACACCGGUGGCGAAGGCGGCGUCCUGGACCAACACUAACACUGAGGAGCGAAAGCCAGGGGAGCAAACGGG
rnacentral:rRNA from 1 species